UAAUACGAAGGUGGCAAGCGUUGUUCGGAAUUACUGGGCGUAAAGCGCGUGUAGGCGGCUCUUCAAGUCAGGCGUGAAAGCCCUGAGCUCAACUCAGGAACUGCGUUUGAUACUGUCGAGCUAGAGUGUGGAAGGGGCAAUCGGAAUUCCGUGUGUAGCGGUGAAAUGCGUAGAUAUACGGAGGAACACCAGAGGCGAAGGCGGAUUGCUGGGCCAACACUGACGCUGAGACGCGAAAGCCAGGGUAGCAAACGGGAUUAGAUACCCCGGUAGUCCUGGCCUUAAACGAUGCUGACUUGGUGUCCCCGGUUAUAAGUCCGGGGGUGUCGGAGCUAACGCGUUAAGUCAGCCGCCUGGGGAGUACGGUCGCAAGGCUG
rnacentral:rRNA from 1 species